rnacentral:rRNA from 1 species
UAAGGAAUAUUGGUCAAUGCCCGGAAGGGUGAACCAGCCAUGCCGCGUGAAGGAUGACUGCCCUCUGGGUUGUAAACUUCUUUUGGAUGGGACGAAAAAACGGGAUUUAUCCUGGACUGACGGUACCAUCAGAAUAAGCACCGGCUAACUCCGUGCCAGCAGCCGCGGUAAUACGGAGGGUGCAAGCGUUAUCCGGAAUCACUGGGUUUAAAGGGUGCGUAGGCGGUUUUAUAAGUCAGGGGUGAAAGCAUGCAGCUUAACUGUAUAAUUGCCUUUGAUACUGUAAGACUUGAAUAAGGUUGAGGUUGGCGGAAUGUGACAUGUAGCGGUGAAAUGUUUAGAUAUGUCAUAGAACACCGAUUGCGAAGGCAGCUGACUGGGCCUUUAUUGACGCUGAGGCACGAAAGCGUGGGGAGCGAACAGG